rnacentral:tRNA from 1 species
AGGGCUCAGAGGUAGAGCAUCUGCUUUUCAUGCAGACAAUCAUGGGUUCAAUUCCUGGCAUCUCUA